rnacentral:rRNA from 1 species
AAAUAUUGACCAUUUACUUACACUUAACUCCGCCUGGGUAUUACGAACAUAAGUUUAAAACCCGAAGGACUUGGCGGUGCUUAACAUCCACCUAGAGGAGCCUGUUCUAGAACCGAUAACCCCCGUUAAACCUCACCCUCUCUUGUUUAUCCCGCCUAUAUACCACCGUCGUCAGCUUACCCUGUGAAGGGUACAUAGUAAGCGAAAAUGGCAUAGCCUAAAACGUCAGGUCGAGGUGUAGUGCAUGUGAGGGGAAGAAAUGGGCUACAUUCGCUAACUAUAGCGAACUACGAAUGUUGUACUGAAAUAUACAGCUAAAGGAGGAUUUAGCAGUAAGCAGGAAAUAGAGCGUCCU